rnacentral:rRNA from 1 species
UCCUCCAAGGCUAAAUACUCCUGACUGACCGAUAGUGAACCAGUACCGUGAGGGAAAGGCGAAAAGAACCCCGGCGAGGGGAGUGAAAAAGAACCUGAAACCGUGUACGUACAAGCAGUGGGAGCACAGGUUUACCUGUGUGACUGCGUACCUUUUGUAUAAUGGGUCAGCGACUUAUAUUCUGUAGCAAGGUUAACCGUAUAGGGGAGCCGUAGGGAAACCGAGUCUUAAUUGGGCGUUAAGUUGCAGGGUAUAGACCCGAAACC